ensembl:lncRNA
UGAAAAGGAAAAAAGAAUCACAGCUCUUUCUAUUCACUCCUUCCUGCCUGUUUUCCCUAGAGGGAGUUAUCUUUUCUUUCCCAGUUUUCCUCCUUUACAAGCAUGCUUUUUUUCUUUUUGGCACCAAGGGAAAAGAAAGUACAUAGGAGGAAAUGAAGGAGAAAAGGAUACGUGCAACCUUAAAAAGCAUUUAAUUUCUCUAUUGCUGCCUAAAAUCAGAAGAGAGUUUUUGAAUAGUUUGAAAAUCCUGUUUGCCAUAGCAAUACCAGCAGGGACUCUGCUUCUCAAGUACAAAGCUCCCUCCCGCAGAUGCACAUCAGGAUGUAAGGUGAACUUCAGAAAUGUGUUUUAUGGCAGG